GCAUAAUAAUUUGCCUCUUAAUUGGAGGCUGGAAUGAAUGAAUAUAUGAGAGUUUUUCUGUCUCCAUGCUACUAAUAAAAAUUAAUCUUUAGGUGAAAAAGCCUAAAUUUCAUAGAAAGACAAGAAGACCCUAUUGAGCUUUACCGCCCUUCUUAACUUUUUACCUUAACUCUAAGAAUUCCGGUUUUGUUGGGGCGACAAAAGAAGAAAAUAAAUCUUCUUUAUUUUCCAAGGAAAUAAACCUAUCCAAUGAUCCAUAACCAUGAUUAAGAGAUCCAGCUACCAUAGGGAUAACAGGCUAAUCUUCUUUGAGAGACCACAUUGACAAGAAGGA
rnacentral:rRNA from 1 species